rnacentral:rRNA from 1 species
GACGAACGCUGGCGGCGUGCUUAACACAUGCAAGUCGAACGGAAAGGCCCUGCUUUUGUGGGGUGCUCGAGUGGCGAACGGGUGAGUAACACUUGAGUAACCUGCCCUUGACUUUGGGAUAACUUCAGGAAACUGGGGCUAAUACCGGAUAGGAGCUCCUGCUGCAUGGUGGGUGUUGGAAAGUUUCGUCGGUUGGGGAUGGACUCGCGGCUUAUCAGCUUGUUGGUGGGGUAGUGGCUUACCAAGGCUUUGACGGGUAGCCGGCCUGAGAGGGUGACCGGCCACAUUGGGACUGAGAUACGGCCCAGACUCCUACGGGAGGCGGAAGUGGGGAAUAUAGCACAAUGGGCGGAAGACUGAUGCAGCAACGCCGCGUGCGGGAUGACGGCCUUCGGGUUGUAAACCGCUUUCGCCUGUGACGAAGCGUGAGUGACGGUAAUGGGUAAAGAAGCACCGGCUAACUACGUG